CGCAUGCAAAGAAAUGACACUUUGAAGCUGAUGGCUGCCAUCAAGUAUCAAACAGGAGCUAAUUCAUACCAGGGGUGAGUUGGCAAAAGCAUCACAGUAUAGGCUGAAACAGCUAUUCGCAAAGAACCCAUACCAUCAUCGCUCACACAGCCCAGCCAAGAGACUUUGCAACGGUAAAGGGAAAGGAAAGUUUCGGCUUCAACGUU